GACGUCGAAGGAUCGACGCAGGCUGACCAGGGAUCGGUAGGCCAGGUUUAGGGACAGUCACAGGAUCGCGGCUACUUCAUCAGGAUGAUGAAAGAGUGGUGUUUACAGAAAACGGCGAGGUCACCCCCCUCGCCGUUUUUGU
rnacentral:sRNA from 1 species